rnacentral:rRNA from 1 species
AACCUUCCACAAUGGACGAAAGUCUGAUGGAGCAAUGCCGCGUGAGCGAAGAAGGUUUNCGGAUCNUNAAGCUCUGUUGUGAGGGNCGAACACGUACGGGAGUAACUGCCCGUACCUUGACGGUACCUCAUUAGAAAGCCACGGCUAACUACGUGCCAGCAGCCGCGGUAAUACGUAGGUGGCAAGCGUUGUCCGGAAUUAUUGGGCGUAAAGCGCGCGCAGGCGGUCUUUUAAGUCUGAUGUGAAAGCCCACGGCUCAACCGUGGAAGGUCAUUGGAAACUGAAGGACUUGAGUACGGAAGAGGAAAGCGGAAUUCCACGUGUAGCGGUGAAAUGCGUAGAGAUGUGGAGGAACACCAGUGGCGAAGGCGGCUUUCUGGUCUGUAACUGACGCUGAGGCGCGAAAGCGUGGGGAGCAAACA